rnacentral:rRNA from 1 species
AGCAGCCGCGGUAAUUCCAGCUCCAAUAGCGUAUAUUAAAGUUGUUGCAGUUAAAAAGCUCGUAGUUGAAUUUCGGGGUUAGUAAGUUGGUCAUGCCUUCGGUAUGUACUGGCUUUACUGAUUCCUCCUUCUUGACGAACCGUGAUGUCAUUAAUUUGGUGUUGCGGGAAAUCAGGACUGUUACUUUGAAAAAAUUAGAGUGUUUAAAGCAGGCUAACGCUUGAAUACAUUAGCAUGGAAUAAUGAAAUAGGACGUUAAUCCUAUUUUGUUGGUUUCUAGGAUCGACGUAAUGAUUAAUAGGGAUAGUUGGGGGCAUUAGUAUUCAAUUGUCAGAGGUGAAAUUCUUGGAUUUAUUGAAGACUAACUACUGCGAAAGCAUUUGCCAAGGAUGUUUUCAUUAAUCAAGAACGAAAGUUAGGGGAUCGAAGACGAUCAGAUACCAUCGUAGUCUUAACCAUAAACUAUGCCGACUAGGGAUCGGAUGAUGUUAAUUUUUUAAUGACUCA